ACGUAGGGUGCAAGCGUUAAUCGGAAUUACUGGGCGUAAAGCGUGCGCAGGCGGCUUUGCAAGACAGAUGUGAAAUCCCCGGGCUUAACCUGGGAACUGCAUUUGUGACUGCAAGGCUGGAGUGUGGCAGAGGGGGAUGGAAUUCCGCGUGUAGCAGUGAAAUGCGUAGAUAUGCGGAGGAACACCGAUGGCGAAGGCAAUCCCCUGGGCCUGCACUGACGCUCAUGCACGAAAGCGUGGGGAGCAAACAGG
rnacentral:rRNA from 1 species